CACGUAGGGGACGAGCGUUGUCCGGAAUUAUUGGGCGUAAAGAGCUCGUAGGCGGUUUGUUGCGUCGGCUGUGAAAUCCCGAGGCUCAACCUCGGGUCUGCAGUCGAUACGAGCAAACUAGAGUGUUGCAGGGGAGACUGGAAUUCCUGGUGUAGCGGUGAAAUGCGCAGAUAUCAGGAGGAACACCGGUGGCGAAGGCGGGUCUCUGGGCAACAACUGACGCUGAGGAGCGAAAGCGUGGGGAGCGAACAGG
rnacentral:rRNA from 1 species